rnacentral:lncRNA from 1 species
ACAAGAUGGUGCCAAUAAACUGGAAUGCCAUUUGCAUAAUAAGAUUAGGGUGGGGUGACCAGCCUUCCCCGUGCACCAUGUAGAUACCACAGCUGAUCCAAUAAAUCAAUGAGCCCUAUGUAAAUCAGACACCACCUCCUCAAAUUGGACUAUAAAACUUGGCGCAUUUAUGUCAGCUGGUCCUUUUUUUCUGCUUGGAGGCCCUCUUUUGGGCUUUCUCAACAUGAGGAAGCUUUUUCUCUCUCUUUUCUUCUUUUUCUAUUAAACUUUCCACUCCAAAACCCACCCCUCAUGUGUUCUGUGUCCUGAAUUCCUUCUUGACUGAGACCAAAAGCCAGAGUAAAGACUGCAGACAACAGAGUUGUUUCAUAUUGGGUUCUCUCCUGGGUCCAGAUCAAAACCGAAGAUAGAAACAUCGGAGUGAUUAAAAAGAAAAACAUAAGGCUGGGAGCAGUGGCUCACACCUGUAAUCCAGGCAACUCGGGAGGCUGAGGCAGGUGGAUCACUUGAGGUCAGGAGUUCGAGACCAGCCUGGCCAACAUGGUGAGUCCCACAUCUCUACUAAAAAUACAAAAAUUAGCCAGG